rnacentral:rRNA from 1 species
UUCGCAAUGCCCGAAAGGGUGACGAAGCGACGCCGCGUGGGUGAGGAAGGCCUUCGGGUUGUAAAGCCCUGUCAGGAGUUAAGAAAUAUAGGUACGCUAAUAUCGUAUCUAUUUGACAAAGGCUCCAAAGGAAGCCACGGCUAACUCUGUGCCAGCAGCCGCGAUAAUACAGAGGUGGCAAGCGUUGUUCGGAAUUAUUGGGCGUAAAGAGCACGUAGGUGGAUUUGUAAGUCAGAUGUGAAAGCCUUCUGUUCAACGGGAGAAUUGCAUCUGAAACUACAAACCUUGAGUAUAGGAGGGGAGAAUGGAACUUCUGGUGGAGCGGUGAAAUGCGUAGAUAUCAGAAGGAACGCCGGCGGCGAAAGCGAUUCUCUGGCCUAUUACUGACACUCAGUGUGCGAAAGCUAGGGGAGCAAACGGGAUUAGAUACCCCGGUAGUCCUAGCCGUAAACGAUGGGCACUAAGUAGAGGGGUUUU